AUUAUGACACAAUUUUUCUAUAGAAUUGAAGAUGCUAUAGAUCUUGUGUGUCUAUUUCACUUGCUUCAUCCGGACUGUUCAUCUGGGAAAGAAGUGAAGGAGAAAAAGUUGACUGGGAUCGACAUAAUAAAGGCCUACCUACGCCUGGAUACACCUCACCCAGGAAAAGUGGAGCUAGCCCUACAGGCAUAUGAGAAUGAACUCCAAGAGCAAAAGGCAACUGAACAGAAGGAAAACAACUGAAAAUUUCAAAUUAAAAUAAAUUUAGUUAAAAUCUUUCUGUUGGUGUUUCAGUUCAGUAUCACACAACUGUCCUUGAAGACAAGUCUGCUGCCCUCUCUUGCCUUCACUGGCAACUAGUUGAGGGCAGUAGUAUUCAGGCUUUCCAACUGAAAUGUUACAUCAAGCAAUUUUUUGUUCAAAAUGAUUUUCAAUCAACUGGUACUCUAGUGCACUAAGCUGGAAACCAUUCCUCAAGCCUAGUUUACAUAAAAUCGCUACACUCUAUCACCGACAGCUUUCAGCAAUGCUGAUUGGUCAGUCAAAUAAGGGACAGGCUGACGUUGAUGAUGAAUCAGAGUUUAUUAAAAAUACUACUAAAAGUUGAGGUGUUUUUCUAGUAAAUUAAAUAAAAAAAAUUAAAAUAUGAA